rfam:Ciona savignyi cont_33237, whole genome shotgun sequence.
GCUUAUCACCAUUCCAGAUUGAAUAUACCCGAUCUCGUCUGAUCUCUGAAGUCAAGCAAUCUCGGGCUUGGUUAGUACUUGGA